UUUCAGCAACGGAUCUCUUGGCUCUCGCAUCGAUGAAGAACGCAGCGAAAUGCGAUAAGUAAUGUGAAUUGCAGAAUUCAGUGAAUCAUCGAAUCUUUGAACGCACCUUGCGCCCUUUGGCUAUUCCGAAGGGCAUGCCUGUUUGAGUAUCAUGAACACCUCAACUCGCACGGUUUGCCGUGACGAGCUUGGACUUUGGGGGUUUUGCUGGUCCACAGUCAGCUCCCCUUAAAUUGAUUAGCUUGCCAGUGUCUGGGGACCUCAUAGGUGUGAUAACUAUCUACGCUUGCGGUGGUAUCCCAGGUAAACCUUCAGCGAUGGAGGUGCGCUGGAGCUCACAAACGUCUUCUUCGGUGGAGACAGCUUUUUGAAGUUCGAUCUCAAAUCAGGUAGGACUACCCGCUGAACUUAAGCAUAUCAAUAAGCGGAGGAAAAGAAACUAACAAGGAUUCCCCUAGUAACUGCGAGUGAAGCGGGAAGAGCUCAAAUUUAAAAUCUGGCGUGCCUCUGGUCGCCCGAGUUGUAUUCUGGAGAAGCGUUUUCCGUGUCGGACCAUGUAUAAGUCUCUUGGAACAGGGCGUCAUAGAGGGUGAGAAUCCCGUCUUUGGCAUGGACUACCGAUGCUUUGUGAUGCGCUCUCAAAGAGUCGAGUUGUUNGGGAAUGCAGCUCAAAAUGGGUGGUAAAUUCCAUCUAAAGCUAAAUAUAGGCGAGAGACCGA
rnacentral:rRNA from 1 species